rnacentral:rRNA from 1 species
CCGGAGUGGACGCAUCACUGGUGUUCGGGUUGUCAUGCCAAUGGCAUUGCCCGGUAGCUAAAUGCGGAAGAGAUAAGUGCUGAAAGCAUCUAAGCACGAAACUUGCCCCGAGAUGAGUUCUCCCUGACUCCUUGAGAGUCCUGAAGGAACGUUAAAGACGAUGACGUUGAUAGGUCGGGUGUGUAAGCGUAGCGAUACGUUGAGCUAACCGAUACUAAUGAACCGUGAGGCUUAACCUUACAACGCCGAAGGUGUUU